GAUGAACGCUGGCGGCGUGCCUAACACAUGCAAGUCGAGCGAUCUUCUUCGGAAGAGAGCGGCGGACGGGUGAGUAACGCGUGGGUAACCUGCCUCAUACACAUGGAUAACAUACUGAAAGGUAUGCUAAUACAAGAUGAUAUAAGAGAUUCGCAUGGAUUUCUUAUCAAAGCUUUUGCGGUAUGAGAUGGACCCGCGUCUGAUUAGCUAGUUGGUAAGGUAAUGGCUUACCAAGGCGACGAUCAGUAGCCGACCUGAGAGGGUGAUCGGCCACAUUGGAACUGAGACACGGUCCAAACUCCUACGGGAGGCAGCAGUGGGGAAUAUUGCACAAUGGGCGAAAGCCUGAUGCAGCAACGCCGCGUGAGCGAUGAAGGCCUUCGGGUCGUAAAGCUCUGUCCUCAAGGAAGAUAAUGACGGUACUUGAGGAGGAAGCCCCGGCUAACUACGUGCCAGCCGCCGCUGUAAUAC
rnacentral:rRNA from 1 species